rnacentral:rRNA from 1 species
GACAUGAAGUGGCGAACGGGUGAGUAACACGUGACCAACCUGCCCCCCUCUCCGGGACAACCUUGGGAAACCGAGGCUAAUACCGGAUACUCCCUCCCCUGCUCCUGCAGGGGUCGGGAAAGCCCAGGCGGAGGGGGAUGGGGUCGCGGCCCAUUAGGUAGUAGGCGGGGUAACGGCCCACCUAGCCCGCGAUGGGUAGCCGGGUUGAGAGACCGACCGGCCACAUUGGGACUGAGAUACGGCCCAGACUCCUACGGGAGGCAGCAUG